rnacentral:lncRNA from 1 species
CUGGUUCAACUAGGUUGUGCAUGUUCAAUCGAUUCACUAUUGUAAAAACAUGAUACGGAGAAGCGGACCUUUUGUACACAAACAAGGUACCUUCUAUGUCAGUCUUCUCCCACUCGUUAGCCUUCGGGCUGAAGCUGUAGAGCGCUACCUGCCCGGUCACGUCGGCAAUACUGGUGAUGUACGGGUCGUGCUGCUUAAGGGCCGCCAAGCUGAUCUCCUGCCCCGCUCUGCUCGCGGCCUCCAU